CCUACGGGUAGCUGCAGUGAGGAAUAUUGGUCAAUGGGCGCGAGCCUGAACCAGCCAAGUAGCGUGAAGGCUGACUGCCCUACGGGUUGUAAACUUCUUUUAUAAAGGAAUAAAGUGAGGCACGUGUGCCUUUUUGUAUGUACUUUAUGAAUAAGGCUCGGCUAACUCCGUGCUAGCAGCCGCGGGAAUACGGAGGCUCCGAGCGUUAUCCGGAUUUAUUGGUGUUAAAGGGAGCGUAGAUGGGUUGUUAAGUCAGUUGUGAAAGUGUGCGGCUCAACCGUAAAAUUGCAAUUGAUACUGGCAGCCGUGAGUACAGUUGAGGUAGGCGGAAUUCGUGGUGUAGCGGUGAAAUGCUUAGAUAUCACGAAGAACUCCGAUUGCGAAGGCAGCUUACUAAACUGCCACUGACAUUGAUGCUCGAAAGUGUGGGUAUCAAACAGGAUUAGAUACCCGGGUAGUC
rnacentral:rRNA from 1 species